ACGUACAUGGUGACUUGUUUAUUGAUUAAUAUGUAGUACUUCCUUAUUGUUACUGUAUAUUAAUUGAAAGCUGGGGGGAAAUCGUUUAUAACUUAAAAAAUUAUAAAACAGUGUAAGAAUAUAUAUGGCUUCCCAGAAUAUAGAAAUGAAGGAUUGUAAAGAAAGCAGUAUAUUAGAACACGAGCAUAUCUACGACAGGCUUAAUAUUGGCAAUGAGCUUACACUGUCGUGGAAGCAAUGGCUCAAAUUUUUAUUACUGACACUGACUGUAUGUUUGGUGUUUUCUGGAUUGGUACUAGCUGUAACUUAUUUUACAUUGCAUGCUGAACUAAGAGUGAACAUGGAGAAGACUUAUGAAGUCCUGAUGAAAACACAAAACUGUUCCGCUACAGAGACUCAUGCUCUGACAUCUGAAAAAGAAAAAGAAGAAACCUUCAAAAAACCGGCAUUUUUUGCACGUUUAAAGCCACCCAAUCGCUCAGUGACCCUUAAAUCUAACAACGUAGUUAAAUUUAAUGCUAUUACGACAAACAUCGGGAGUGGAUACGACUCAAAUACCGGAGUGUUUACGGUUCCACUCAAUGGGACCUACGAAUUUGCAGUAAAUUACGUCAAAGGUGAUAAAAUGGAGUGGCUAGAACUGCAACUGAUGAAGAACAACAUAAGUAUUGUACGUAGCAAUGCUGCUUAUGAUAAGUAUUCAUCGGGAUCUCUUCAGGUUAUACUGGAAUUGGAGGAAAGGGAUCAAAUCUAUGUCAUUCAGCCACGUAUUUCAGGGACACUUUAUGGAGAUAAUUUUACCAUGUUUUCUGGUCAUUUUAUAUGAGUAAAGUGCAUCAAAUAUAAA